rnacentral:tRNA from 2 species
GCCAGGAUAGUUUAACUGGUUAGAACAUUAAUUUCAUGCAUUAAAAAUGGGAAUUCAACUUUCCCUCCCGGCU